CCUACGGGUGGCUGCAGUUGGGAAUAUUGGGCAAUGGGCGCAAGCCUGACCCAGCAACGCCGCGUGACGGAAGAAGGCUUUCGGGUUGUAAACUUCUUUUAUGAGGGACGACGGAAGUGACGGUACCUCAUGAAUAAGCCACGGCUAACUACGUGCCAGCAGCCGCGGUACUACGUAGGUGGCGAGCGUUAUCCGGAUUUACUUGGUGUAAAGGGCGUGUAGGCGGGCUUGCAAGUCAGAUGUGAAAACUAUGGGCUCAACCCAUAGCCUGCAUUUGAAACUGUAGGUCUUGAGUGAUGGAGAGGCAGGCGGAAGUCCGUGUGUAGCGGUGAAAUGCGUAGAUAUACGGAGGAACACUAGUGGCGAAGGCGGCCUGCUGGACAUUAACUGACGCUGAGGCGCGAAAGCGUGGGGAGCAAACAGGAUUAGAUACCCUUGUAGUC
rnacentral:rRNA from 1 species